AAUAAUAUGGCUCAUUUGUCAGAGCGUCCCCCUAGUAAGGGGAAGGUCAGUGGUUUGAUUCCGCAAGAGUUAUAUAAUAAUUA